rnacentral:piRNA from 1 species
AAUAUUGUUAAAGCAGUUAGAAGA